rnacentral:rRNA from 1 species
GAUGAACGCUGGCGGCGUGCCUAAUACAUGCAAGUCGAGCGAACGGACGAGAAGCUUGCUUCUCUGAUGUUAGCGGCGGACGGGUGAGUAACACGUGGAUAACCUACCUAUAAGACUGGGAUAACUUCGGGAAACCGGAGCUAAUACCGGAUAAUAUUUUGAACCGCAUGGUUCAAAAGUGAAAGACGGUCUUGCUGUCACUUAUAGAUGGAUCCGCGCUGCAUUAGCUAGUUGGUAAGGUAACGGCUUACCAAGGCAACGAUGCAUAGCCGACCUGAGAGGGUGAUCGGCCACACUGGAGCUGAGACACGGUCCAGACUCCUACGGGAGGCAGCAGUAGGGAAUCUUCCGCAAUGGGCGAAAGCCUGACGGAGCAACGCCGCGUGAGUGAUGAAGGUCUUCGGAUCGUAAAACUCUGUUAUUAGGGAAGAACAUAUGCGUAAGUAACUGUGCACAUCUUGACGGUACCUAAUCAGAAAGCCACGGCUAACUACGUG